CAGAUUGGGUAUGUGGAAAGAACCACUGGGAUGCAAGGGUUCAUCUGGGUUUGGGGGAGGGCUGGAACACCCCUUCCCUCUGCAAUUUCACACUGUGAAAUAUUGCUUUGGAGCUACGAAGACAUGGCUGCUGUGUUCUGUCAUCAUAUCUGUCUCUGUGAUUUCCUCUUGAGUCAGAACUCAGGGCUCACUGGGAGAGCAGAAUCGAGAAGCCCCUCUUGGGAAGCUCUGGAAAUGCUGCUGGAGAGGUGGAUCAGCCUGGGCACCCAGCUCAGCAGCCACUGUCGCUGCUCAUAUGAGAAGAAAGUGAAUGGGCACAGACCUGGAGGUGGAUCUUGUGGAAGUUAUUCUGGAAAUUCUAUUGUGUUCAUCCAGCAGGCACAGUAGUUCAUAGCUUCAUCUUCUUUCUCUAAGAAAUUCAUUUUCAGGGUCUAAAUGGAAGUUUGAGAAUUUUUACUGCCUCAAAUUUGUUCUUCUCACCUAAUUCUUUUUCAGUAGGUGAUGUCCAGACAUUUAUUCGAUGCUCUAGACCUUGAUUGUCAGUACCAGUGUAUGACUUCUCUGUCCAAGUCAGAGAGGAAUAACUUACAAGUUAACUGAGAACUCUUAUCUGUUGCCCUGGAAAUUGUUAUUUUAGGUUGCACCAGUUGCCCUAGUCCAACUGCAAGCAAAGAAGAGAGAGUCCUAUGAACAAACAACACAUGAAGAAACUACAAAAAAAGAAGAACUUCAUUCUCUUCUGGAGACUGUAGUGACAGGGGGAAACUCACAAACCCAGAGGGAGGACAGGAUGACUGCUUUCAGGAGUGGCAUCCCACCUACCGUGCUAGGUGCCCAGGAAGAAGAUGAGAAUGUGAGGGUCCUGAGACCUAAGGUCUCAGGUCAGUGCAGGAGGGUGUGGCUGUUCUGGUGUCUCAGAGAAGUAGAGGGUCAGGUGGUUUCCUGGGUUCUUUAUGAUCUGCUGCAGUUAUGAGAGGUUCUAGGGUUUCCUGCAUGAAACUUCAUGAGCUGAGCAGAUUGGAUAUGUGUGUUGACUACGUGGAAAGACUCCCUGACACACACUGUUCCUGUUUUCGGGGAGGGGUAGUUCUGUUACCUACUCACCCUUUUGCUCUGCAAUUUCACACUGUGAAAUGUUGCUUUCAAGCUAUGAAGACUCCAGCAAGGUUUUGGGGAGCUCUCCCAGAAAGCACAGGCAUCUCACUAUAGAAAGCUCUUUACUGCUCUGUGAGACUCUUUUGAGCACUAGAUGAGGCAACUUUGGAGCUGUCUCAUAUAUACUAUCAAAGAGAGGGUUGUUGUUGUUGCUGUUAUUAUUAUUAUGAUUUUGGUACCAGGGAUUAGAACCAAGGCGCUUAAGCACUCAUUCACAUUCCCAGCCCUUUUUUAUAUUUUAUUUAGAGACAGGGUCUCCUGAGUUGCUAAGUGCCUUGCUAAUCUACUGAGACUGGCUUUAAACUCACAAUCCUCUUACCUCAGCCUCCCGAGUUGCUGGGAUUUCAGACAUGCACCAGCGCCUGGUGAGAGGGGUAUUUUUAAGUAAUGUUCAUUUUCAUUUAUGGUAAUAAGGCUUUGCAAUUAAUAAUAUACGUAAAUAUUUACCAAGGACUUACCAACAAUGUUAAAAAUGCUUUCUUGUACUUUCAUUUUCACUCUUACCAAUCCCCAAAGGUAUUGGGACCUCCCUGUGACAGACCAGAUCAGUGGGGCAAAGAUAACUUACCCUCAGUCACUUUCCUGGUAUCCAGGGAAUUUGGAUGAGUAUCAGAUGCUCACUGCAGAUAACCUGAGUAAACAUUCCCCCUAAAAUGACAAUAAAAGCCAUCACUUUUUUACUUCUAAGUAUUUUCUGUGCAUGUUUAUGAAGCAAUGUGUUUGGAUCAUUUUACUAUUAAAAUUUUAAAUGGGCUUUGCAUUUGUAGGCUCAUAUGCUCUUCUUUUAGCUAACUUUAUAUUUAUAUACUACUUCCCUAAAAUGUGAAUAUCCCAAUUAAAGGCCUGUGAUAAUAAGCACCCCUGCUAAUUUCUAAUCCAUCUGAGGUCACCUGAGUUAUAUAAAAUCUUUGUGUCUGUUUCUACAUCUAUAUGUGCCUAAAUAUUUUUCAGACCCAUAAUAAAAUUAUGUUCUCAUAUAAGAAUUAUAAUGAAGAGAAAGUAUAGAUAAUAGUACUUGACACAUAAUAUUUAUUUAUGAGGUUUUUCAAGUUUUAUUUUCAUUAUUGCUUUAAAACUAGAAAAAAGAACUUAUUGGUUAAAUAAUAUUUUAGUUGUAACAGUUGUUGUAGUCCUUUUUGGAAAAUGCAUCAAAUCAACAAAAGUAUAAAGAAUAAAGUAACCCACCCACUCAAUUGGAGAAAUAAAGCCUGCCUUAAGAAUUCUA